UACGAGGGGGGCGAGCGUUGUUCGGAAUUAUUGGGCGUAAAGGGUGCGUAGGCGGUUUGGUAAGUCUGAUGUGAAAUCUAUGGGCUCAACUCAUAGUCUGCAUCGGAAACUGCCGGGCUUGAGUGUGGGAGAGGUGAGUGGAAUUCCUGGUGUAGCGGUGAAAUGCGUAGAUAUCAGGAGGAACACCGGUGGCGAAGGCGGGUCUCUGGGCCGGUACCGACGCUGAGGAGCGAAAGCGUGGGGAGCGAACAGG
rnacentral:rRNA from 1 species